rnacentral:rRNA from 1 species
AUUGAACGCUGGCGGCAUGCCUUACACAUGCAAGUCGAACGGCAGCACGGGAGCAAUCCUGGUGGCGAGUGGCGAACGGGUGAGUAAUACAUCGGAACGUGCCCAGUAGUGGGGGAUAGCCCGGCGAAAGCCGGAUUAAUACCGCAUACGACCUGAGGGUGAAAGCGGGGGAUCGCAAGACCUCGCGCUAUUGGAGCGGCCGAGAUCGGGUUAGCUAGUUGGUGGGGUAAAGGCUCACCAAGGCAACGAUCCGUAGCUGGUCGGAGAGGACGACCAGCCACAAGGGGACUGGGACACGCCCCAGACUCCUACGGGAGGCAGCAGUGGGGAAUUUUGGACAAUGGGCGCAAGCCUGCUUCAGCCAUGCCGCGUGCGGGAAGAAGGCCUUCGGGUUGUAAACCGCUUUUGUCAGGGAAGAAACGCUCUGGGCUAAUACCCCGGGGAAAUGACGGUACCUGAAGAAUAAGCACCGGCUAACUACGUGCCAGCAGCCGCCGUAACAC